rnacentral:rRNA from 1 species
AUGCCUCCUGCUCUUCUUCUCGCCCGUCACGGCAUGGAUGACCAGAUGCCUGCGUCGUCAGCGGCGGUGCCUCCGCCGCAAACCCCCAUGGAGCCCAUGGAGUACCUGUCCAGGUCCUGGAGCGUGUCCGCCGACGAGAUAUCCAAGGCUCUGCUGCUCAAAGGGAGCAGCAAACGGAGCUUUUUCGCCCCCGUUGACAGUCUUCUUCCACCACACACGACUGCCUUGCCGGAGACAGAGACCACCUCCUACGAGCUCCUCGCCGCACCCGCCGCCUCCGGUCAACAGCUCCAGCACCAACAUCUAGAUGCAACAAGGAGCUCCAUCAGCUGUCGCCGCCAUUCCAACUCGGUAACCAGGUGGUAUUUCCAACACAAGGAGGCUGCAGGCCACAGGGGAAGAGACAAGGCACGCGCCGACCGAGCCCAGGCGCACGCGAUGGUCUCCAUGGCCCAGGUGUCCGCCGCGGUAGCAGCCGUCACUGCAGCCACCAGCUGUGACAGCCAGGACUCCAAGAUAGCUGCAGCCAUGGAGUCUGCCACCAAGCUUCUGGCUUCACACUGCGCCGAGGCAGCCCAACUUGCAGGGGCUGGUCAUGAGCAGGUGUCCUCUACUGUCCGGUCUGCAGUUGGUGUCACCGGUCCGGGUGAUCUGAUGACGCUCACAGUGGCCGCAGCGACAGCUUUGAGAGGAGCUGCGGCGCUGAAGAAGAGGAUCCAGCGCGAGGCGAGAAGCAAUUCCAGCGUCAUUCCUUAUGACAAGGCCCCUUCCUGGAGUCCUGAUAUCUGGUGCAAGGAAGGCAAGCUGCUAAAACGCACAAGAAAAGGGGAUUUACACAAGAGACGGGUAUCAGUCUACAUUAACAAGAGAUCACAGGUCAUAUUGAAGCUGAAGAGCAAACACAUUGGAGGUGCGCUAUCAAAAAACAAUAAAAGCUUACCAGAGACAUGCUGCUUUGGCUUGAGUACAGCACAGGGCCUGAUUGAGUUCAAGUGUGAGAGCAGCACCAGUAAACAGAGCUGGGUUCAUGGUGUGCAAAAUCUGCUCCAGCAGGUUGAUGUAGCUGACCAAGUAGGGCACAGGCUAGAAACACUAAAACUCAACUGGUGCAGUUAG